rnacentral:tRNA from 1 species
GCCGAGGUAGCUCAAUGGUAGAGCGUUGGCCUGAAGAGCCAAGCGUUGGGGGUUCGAUUCCCUCUCUCGGCA